rnacentral:rRNA from 1 species
UACGAAGGGGGCUAGCGUUGCUCGGAAUCACUGGGCGUAAAGCGCACGUAGGCGGACUCUUAAGUCGGUGGUGAAAUCCUGGAGCUCAACUCCAGAACUGCCUUCGAUACUGAGAGUCUCGAGUCCGGGAGAGGUGAGUGGAACUGCGAGUGUAGAGGUGAAAUUCGUAGAUAUUCGCAAGAACACCAGUGGCGAAGGCGGCUCACUGGCCCGGUACUGACGCUGAGGUGCGGAAAGCGUGGGGAGCAAACAGG